UUUCCGUAGGUGAACCUGCGGAAGGAUCAUUAUUGAAUGAAACACUUCUGGCUUUAUGCUGUUGUGCUGGCCCUUUGGGCAAUGUGCACACGGCUCUGGUCACUUGUUUCUUCUGUUCCACCUGUGCACUGCCUGUAGACACGCCGUGUCUAUGAUAUCUGUUAACACACAACAAUGUUAGUUGGCAUGUUAUAUAUAAUAAUAAAAUAUACAACUUUCAACAACGGAUCUCUUGGCUCUC
rnacentral:misc_RNA from 1 species